GGUGCCGCGUCCCGGGCACGGCGCCAUCUUGUGGUGCCUGCUGGCUGGUGCAGGCAGGCUGGCCGUUGCGCCGGGCAGUGCGGGGAGGGGGGCCGGUUGUGGGGGACAUUGCCCUUGCUGUUAUGGAGAGAAGAGAAAGCACUGUGAAGAGACAACCGCUUCAGUACCCCGUGAAGCCUCUCUGGGAUGUGCCUGCGUGAGAGUUGCAGCUGUGGGAACGGUUACCACCUCUAUAUUGGCAUUUUGGAGUCUCACCCCGAGGCCCAGCUCCUUCUCAGCACGUUGUGAAGUGCUUUCCCAGUGCAAACCACCCCAGCAACACAGGACUGCCUUACACUAGUUGCUAAACAGAACAUCCCUGGAGACACUCUGAUGUCAAUAGAAGUCUCACAUUCAGAAAGGAUCUUUGUUUGCUGAAAACCAGCAAAUGUGAGUGAUUUGAAAGAACUCAGCAAUCUAGAGGAAUUAAGGCAUUCAUUCCAAACAGCUACGGACAAACUAGUGAAAGAUAUUGAGCUUACAUUACAGGAAACCCAGAAUAAUGAUAACAAGAGGCACAAGAAGCAGCAACAAGUAAAGAUGCAGGGUGCCAUGGGAGACAUACCAACAUCAUAUUUCAUCUCAGAUAAUACAACUGAGAACAUGGAUGCUAAGAGUCAUAUGGCACACUUGGAUGUGACGGGAAGAACAAGUACUUUGCAGUCUGAAGUAUCAACCCGUGUGGAAGAACAGAAAGAGCUUUGCUACGUGCAGGUCACUGCUGCUGACAUUGAACUUCAGAGGAUGUGGUGUAAUUUUGUGCUGGCUGAGCAGAAAUACGAACAUGAGGAUAGUGACAAAAAAAGGCUUCAUGAAGAGAGAAUGGCACAGAUUCACCAACAGUUUAGCCAAGGACUCCAAGACCGACUCCUGCCUCCAAACCAAAAUGUUUUGUUUUUCUUAUACUGCUUCACAUUUAUGUUUAUUAUUUACAUAGUAAAAGACCUCGUCUUUUACUUUUUCCAAAACCAUCACCAGUUCUCUUUUGCUAUUGUGUUCUUUUUCAUUUUAAAAGGAAUUUUCCAGGAUUAAAAAUCUAGGAGAAAUAUGCUCUUAAAAGAGGUAGAAUAUUGUUCAUUUUUCUGCCCCUGAUCUUACUGUUUUUUGUUAUUCACACCAACCAAUAGUUACACAAAACUAACUGAUUUCCUGAAGAAAGCUGGAAAUGGAUGACAUGAUUUGACAUCACAUUGUCUAUACAAAUAAAACGAGAAGUCUCUUUUGAA